rnacentral:rRNA from 1 species
CAGCACCUCAAGUGGUCAGGAUGAUUAUUGGGCCUAAAGCAUCCGUAGCCGGCGCUGUAAGUUUUCGGUUAAAUCUGUACGCUCAACGUACAGGCUGCCGGGAAUACUGCGGCGCUAGGGAGUGGGAGAGGUAGACGGUACUCGGUAGGAAGGGGUAAAAUCCUUUGAUCUAUUGAUGACCACCUGUGGCGAAGGCGGUCUACCAGAACACGUCCGACGGUGAGGGAUGAAAGCUGGGGGAGCAAACCGGAUUAGAGACCCGUGUAGUCC